GGGAAGCAGGAGGAGAGGAGGGAGGGGCAGGUUUAUGGAGGGGGCUGGUAAGCUCACUCUGGGGUAUGCCUAGUUUCAGGGGCCUGCAGGACACUGAGGGCGAGAUUUCUAGGAGACAGACAUGGGUCUGAAGCAUGGAGGGAAGUCAGAGGGGGAGAGAUGACCUUGAUACAGUCAAGCACAGAGUUGGUCAUGGGGCACCACGAGCACCAGCACAGUGCCUCCCACGGAGCACGGACUCAGAAAUGUUUGUUGUUGCCUGUGAGAGUCCUGUCACUGGUGGCUUCAUAGAGGUGAUGACGUUUGAGGCACCUGCAGGGAGAGGGCCACAGCUGCGUGAGGGUCUUACAGUUGGCUGGACGUGCCACGAUCCUCCUCAGUCCCUCUGGUGUGUCCCUGAUCCGGGCGAUUCAGGCAAGGCCACAGCCUGUGAUGGCAGACCAACUCGGAUUCCAAGUCCGGCUUUUCCACUUACUGGCUGUGUGACCUCAGUUUUCUCAGCCUUCUGGAAGGGAUCCUUGAAUUAUUCAACCUGCAGUACAGAUCUCUGGAGAACAUCGCCUCGCGGCUACUUUAAUCACUAGAAAGGUUCAGAGUCAGUUAUAAUCAAGCCUGAGUCAACGUGGAAAUGCUCAUCUCUGGCUUGCAAACAAGAUCAAAAGGAAGACCGAGGAGGAGAUAAAAUCUGAGAGGAGAAAUGGAUAGUGGUUUCCAGAGGCUCUUAGGUCCUUCUGUUUCCAAAGGGGGGUCGCAGACCAGAAGCCCCAGCCCCUGCAGGGCACUGUCCUGCAUAUUUCCUCUGACCUUCUGUAAGCUCACGGACAAGUCUGUUUCAGCUCUGUGCCGAAUCCGGGGCAAACUGACCAACGAUGGGACUUCUGUCUGAUGGAGGUUUGGGCGGGGAGGGAGGGGGAGCUGUUACCUUUUCAGAACGUGUCACCAGGGGGAGGGGGAGCUGCGGAUGUGGGCAGGGCUGUUUCUAUUGGAUGCUAACGUGGGGUUAGGCACCAUCAGGCAAGGACUGCGGUAGAGAGAGUGUAGACUGGCCGGAGGCCGUCUGCAGGCACUGUCAAGGUGGGAAAGUGUCCUUGGGGAGGCGGGAGUGGGCCCAUUAGCUCUGUGUCAGGGAAAGGGCGAUUCUGUCCUCAUAUGGCAAUCCUGUCUGAGUCCUGGUCUGCAAGUAGAAACCAGGAGGUGUUUUUAGGGUCCAGCAUGGGCCGUCUAUGUCAGGCCGUGUGGCACAAAAGGGUGGGGGCUUCAGAGAACAGGGAGCAGCCUUGCUGUGUUGAAGGUCCAGGCUGUCUCACUGAUGACCUGACGGCGACAGGGCCACCACCUGCAGCAGUGAUGGAGCCCUAAGUCACCGGGGUGGGGGUCCCCUCUCCCCUGACUGCCCGUGACAGUCCUCCCCGAGGAUGGGUCAGCACUGACGGCCAGAAACGGUGCUCCUCCCCCUCCCCCCCAAGGGAAGAAGGAUGCUUAUUGUCUAAGUUAAGGAUCUCAGGAGGCCACAUCUAGGGUUUGUGAGUGUGUUCCUUCUUCUCUUUUCCAUUCCUGCAGGAGACAGGAUGGAGCACUGGUUAGGGCUUCUCCAGAAUGGGAGAAGGUCCAGUUCUCUGCCUGGGUCUCUCUCCCACCUUCCUCAGCUGUGCAGACCUAAUAAGGUUUUGUGCGGGUGUAGCCAGCUCGCCCUGGGGCCGGCUUUGUCUCUCUUACUGUCUCUUACUCUCUCUUUCUGCCUGUCUCCCUGCUGUUUUUCUCUGGCCCUUGGUGGCAGGGAUAGGGUGGGACUGGAGCCCGUCUUGCCUCGGGGCCCUGAGAUCUGAGAUUAGGCUGGGGAAGCGGGUGGCUCAGCCUGGUUUAGGAAAAGGACUUCUCCCGGGCCAGGAACCACCAUGGUUCCUUGGUGGGCUCUUUUCCCUAAGGACCUCUUAGGAGGAGGGUGGUGGCUGGGCCAGGGCAGGAUCCGGAAAUUCUGGGACUGGUCCAGGUGCGAUCCUAGCAGUUCAGUCUCCUAGCUUUCUGGCCACGCAGCCCCAACCCGGUGGUGGUAAAGGGUGCUCGAGGCCCUGGCCUCUAUACUGUUGCCCUCCACGGUGGGUCCUGGCUGCCACGGCAGGACUGUGGCUUGAAAGGUGUAUUUGUGGGUACAUGUGAGUCACCCAAGGGGUGCCUGGGCUGCCUGAGUCAAAUCUCAGCUCUGUCACUGACCAGCGAUAUAAGCUCGCCCUCUUCGUGCCUCAGUUUCUUCAGCUGUAAAAUGGAUAGAAGGUUGUGGUAAGGGUUAACUAAGCUAAUGCAUGCAAAGCACUUGGCGCAGUGCCUGGCUCCUAGAAAACACUCAGCAAACAGCUCUUCAUGCUCAAUUGUGUCUCUGUGUCCUCUUAGAGAUGAGAAGUCCUGCCAUAGCAGAUGGGGCCACAGAAACGGAGCUUGUUGCUGUAAUCGUAAACUCCUUUGUGCCCUACAGGCUUAGGGGGUCUAGGAAAUGCCGGUUAAUUUUUUUUUUCUUUUCUGGCGUAGUGAAGCCAUGCAAAUGGAUGGGACUCGCCUUCAGCAUUCCCCCUAUUCCAGUGGAAUCAGCAAAAAGCCGAUUACAAUCCUAUUAUGAACAGGCACUGUGCAAAUAAAAAAAUGAACAAUACAGAAGAGUAUGGGAUU
rnacentral:lncRNA from 1 species